AGUCGCUCGCUCGCUCAUCCACUCGGGCGGCGGCCGGGCCUCAGGCGCUGCGACCCUUUUCCCGCUCCUCCCAGGCUGACGCGCCCGUCUCGGCGCCGCCCUCCUCGGCACCGACUGAGGCGCUGGCCCGGGAGCGGAUCGCGGGGCCGCGGUGGCUGAGUCACAUUCCCGGAGCCCCGCCACCCAGGACACCGCGGCCCCGGCCCCCAGCGAGCCCGGCGGACCCAGCGGCUCUGAACGCGGACGCACAGCCUUUGUUCUUUCACAGCCGCCCUUUACCUCACUCCCAUGGAAACCCCAGGUGUUUUCCCAAGCUGGGGGCUUUUAGUGAGUUCAAGAUUCAAGCCUAAGUCGUAUUAAAAAUUGCUGGCUAGGCCGGGCGCGGUGGCUCACGCCUGUAAUCUCAGCGCUUUGGGAGCCCAAGGCAGGAGGAUCACUUGAGCCCAGGAGUUCCAGACCAGCCUGAGUACAUAGCGAGACCCACGUCUCCACAAAAAUAAAAUAAAAUAAAAUAAAUAGUGGAGCAUGGUGGCCCGCGCCUGUAGUCCCAGCUACUCGGGAGGCUGAGGUGGGAGAAUCGCUUGAGGCCGGGAGGUGAAGGUUGCGGUAAGCCGAGAUCGCGCCAUUGCACUCCAUCCUGGGCGACUGAGUGAGACCCUGCCUAAAAAAAAAAAAAAACAAAAAAAGAAAAAAAAAUUGCUGGCCAGGCUUCCCGGAGGGGUUUAGUUUGACUGCUAACAAUAUACGGUACUGAGUUGCUAAUCCUUCGGGGAAUGGUUAAAGUUCUUUGCGCGCGCUCUCUCUCCAUUUACAGGCAGUGGCAGCAAACUUUCAAUAUCUGACAAGAGCAAUGGCGAUUAUAACCAUGAUUAAAAUUGCUGAAUAUCUGGAAACAGUACUUUAGACAUCAGCUUUAUUGUGCAUACUUACCCCCGACCCCCGCCACAUUCGUUUCUAAUUAGAACUACUAGUGACAAAGGAGAAAAAAAAAAAGUGUUUGCAUUGGCUGUUCUCACCUUGCCUGUAGUGCCGUUUCCCAAGUUUGCGUGGCAGUGCCCAGGAAAUGUUGGCUGAAUAUUAGUAUAUCCCAAAUGACUUGGACUGGGCUAUAGAUACCACAGAAUUGUUUAAACUAGCCAGGAAGGAGUUAGCUGCCUAUUGCAUUUGAGUGGAGAAAAAUACGAAAUGAAACAUGGCAUGCAGUGAUCCGGGUGUUCAGUUCUCCCUCUUCAUCCUCAUUUCAGCUUCUCUCACCUUCACUUUUUAUGCUCUGACUUCCUUCUUGCAGUUUUAAAUUACUCUCUAGUCCUAGAUUGUAAGAUUAUUUUCAUCAGGGAAUACGCAGUAUGUUAAACAUAGUAGACGUUGAAUAAAUGGAUAUUGAUCAAAUGAACCGAGUAUGUCUGAAGAAAGCAGCUUUUAAAUUGACAUAGCAUGAAGCUCUAGCUUAGUCACUAAUAGUCACUGUAACCUUAAUGGUUGUGUUAAUCUGGCUGAUAGAGGGAUGGGUACUUGUUGGCCCUAGAAAUGGGAACUUCAAAGAUCUGUGUUUAUCUAGCCGUGAAUGACAGUAGACAGUGGAAAGGGACAGUGAAAUUUGUGUGGCAGAGAUAUGUCUUCUUAACUAAAGAGGUGACUCCUAUUGUGAAGUAGGUUAAUAUGUCACUCUUUACCAUGGCCUAGAUGAAAUAUGUAUUCAAGCUAGUGUUUCUUAAGUUUUUGAGUCAUAACUCCUUUGAGAAUUUGGUGAAAGCUAUUGACUUUGCCCCCAGAAAGUUCAUGUACUUAUCAUGUAACUUAUCCUCAUAGGUAGUGUUUCUUAAUCUCAGCACCGUUGAAAUUUGGGCUGGAUGAUUCUUUAUUAUGGGGCUCUGUGAGACCUGGGGAUUGUAGGAUGUUUAGCAACAUCCCUGUCUCCUACCUGCUUAUCCAAGUAGCACCUCAUCUCCAGUUGUGACAACUAAAAAUGUCUCCAGACAUUGUGAAAUGUUCUCAGGGGGUCAAAGUCUCCCCUGAUUCAGAACCACUGCCUAGAGGAUAUGGCAUAAUGGUAACUUUAUGUGAUGGUUAGGGAAUUUGAAAAAAAAAAAAAAAAAAAGAAACAAGGAAUGGAUAAGAUUCAACAUCUGUGAAGUGACACUCAGUAAAUGAAAGGCGGAUGAAUUAGCAUUACUACCAGCUGGUGUCCUACUUAUGUUAUAGAAAUGUGACAGCAAAUGUGAUAUGAACUCCUUAGAAGCAUUUUUAUACACAUUGCUGGCUUUAAUUGUGAAUGCUACAGUAACUCUCCUGACUGUUUUUCUUCUUCUGCCUUUAGACAAUUACCCAAGGUUAAGAUGCAAUAAACAUGUGCCUAUUUUCUAUCCAAAAUCUCAAUCAGAUUAAAAUGCUUCUCUAAAGACCUGAAAGGCUUAUUUGUUUAUUUGUAUUCAUGUAGGAUUUGGGGGGAUGAAAGAAUUGGUGAUUAAUCAACAUAUUAUUUUCCCAAUAAACAGACUAUUCUGACAAAUGUUUAGUGGCAAAUAAUAGCAACAGCAAUAAUGGCAACAAUAAACUUAGAACAGAAAUGGAUUUAUUUUUAUUUAUUUAUUUUUUACCAGCUCUUUCUCUUUCACUCGCUUCUGCAUGUUGAGAUUUCUCACACAUGCAACCUAGAUCUUCUUGUCUUCUUUAUAUUCUUUCUCCAAAGGAAUCUCAUUCACUGUUGUGCCUUUAAAUAGCAAGCUUCAGGUGACCCCCACAUUUCUAUCUCCAAAUUGACAUAUCCAAAUGCCUACUACUCAUCUCCCCUCUGAUGUCUUAUAGACAUUCACAUUUAAUAGCAUAUUGUAUUGAGUCUAAGGAGCCAUUAAUUGUAAGUCACAUUUAUGUCCACUAAGAUUAAAAAAUACUGCCAACUGAACUAUGACAAAAUGCUGAUAUCCUUGAUUCUAAGAUACAUCUUGAUUUCAGAGACUUUAAAAAUAGGCUUAAAAAAUAAUGUGAUUUACUAGAAUAGCACCAAAAAGAAUAAAAUACUUAGGAAUUAACUUACCAAGAGAAGUGCAAAACUUGUAUUCUAAACUCUAAAUAACAUUGUUGAAAGAAAUUAAAGACCUAAAUAAAUGGAAAGGUAUCUUAUGUUCAUGGAUCAGAACACUUUGUAAAGAUGGCAGUAAUUCCCAAGUUGAUCCACAGAUUCGGUGCAACCCCUAUCAAAAUCCUGUCUGGUAUCUUUACAUAAGCUUAUUCUAAAAUUUAUAUGGAAAUUCAAGGAGCCCAG
rnacentral:lncRNA from 1 species